UUUUUAACCCUGACAUGGGUGAAUGGUC
rnacentral:piRNA from 1 species